GUGGGUAUAGCUCAGUGAUAGAGCAAGUUCUUGGCAUGCACAACAUCCUGGGUUCAAUCCCCAGUGCCUCCA
rnacentral:tRNA from 1 species